rnacentral:rRNA from 1 species
GAAAACGGGUGGUAAUGCCGGAUGCUCCAGUUGAUCGCAUGGUCUUCUGGGAAAGCUUUCGCGGUAUGGGAUGGGGUCGCGUCCUAUCAGCUUGACGGCGGGGUAACGGCCCACCGUGGCUUCGACGGGUAGCCGGCCUGAGAGGGCGACCGGCCACAUUGGGACUGAGAUACGGCCCAGACUCCUACGGGAGGCAGCAGUGGGGAAUAUUGCACAAUGGGCGCAAGCCUGAUGCAGCGACGCCGCGUGAGGGAUGGAGGCCUUCGGGUUGUAAACCUCUUUUAUCGGGGAGCAAGCGAGAGUGAGUUUACCCGUUGAAUAAGCACCGGCUAACUACGUGCCAGCAGCCGCGGUAAUACGUAGGGUGCAAGCGUUAUCCGGAAUUAUUGGGCGUAAAGGGCUCGUAGGCGGUUCGUCGCGUCCGGUGUGAAAGUCCAUCGCUUAACGGUGGAUCCGCGCCGGGUACGGGCGGGCUUGAGUGCGGUAGGGGAGACUGGAAUUCCCGGUGUAACGGUGGAAUGUGUAGAUAUCGGAA